rnacentral:tRNA from 1 species
GGGCGUGAGACUGACUGGGAAGGUAACGGAUUGUCUAUCCGUUUCAGGCGGGUUCGAUUCCCGUCACGCCCGCAA